rfam:Oryza sativa Japonica Group DNA, chromosome 11, cultivar: Nipponbare, complete sequence.
AAUAGAUGAAGCCGUUGACUUAUUCUUAUGACCAUUCGUCUUAUUUAAAAAAUUUACGUAAUUAUAAUUUAUUUUGUUAUGAGUUGUUUUAUCACUUAUAUUACUUUAAGUGUGAUUUAUAUCUUAUAUAUUUGCAUAAAAUUUUUGAAUAAGACGAAUGGUCAAAUAUGUGAGAAAAAGUCAACGGCGUCAUCUAUU